rnacentral:rRNA from 1 species
UACGGAGGGUGCAAGCGUUGUUCGGAAUCACUUGGCGUAAAGGGCGCGCAGGCGGCCUGAUUAGUCAGAUGUGAAAGCCCACGGCUUGACUGUGGAAGUGCAUUUGAAACUGUCAGGCUUGAGUACCAGAGGGAAAGUGGAAUUCCCGGUGUAGAGGUGAAAUUCGUAGAUAUCGGGAGGAAUACCGGUGGCGAAGGCGACUUUCUGGCUGGAUACUGACGCUGAGGCGUGAAAGCGUGGGGAGGCAAACAGGAUUAGAUACCCU